rnacentral:snRNA from 1 species
AAAUUUGCGCAGUGGCAGUAUCAUAGCGAAUGAGGUUUAUCCGAGGCCUGAUUAUUGUUAAUUGAAAACUUUUCCUAAAAUUCCCAGUGAAGCCAUUAUAAAUCUCUAAUAAGA